CCCCAGGUCUCCCAGGGUCCUAGUCUCCCAGAGCCUUUGUCCCUGAAGAUUCUGCCCUGAGAUUCCCCGGGAUCCACUGGGAUCCCGGUCCUGGGAGGCUUCGUUUCCGCUGCAUGCCUCAGUGAUCCUCCUCCCUUCUCGGCGAGCAGCCGAGGAUUCCAAAGCAAUACUCCACACACUGACGGUCCUCCCUCCCACCAGAUCCCCAAGACCGGAUUUCUACGGAAAGAAUCCUACAGCGCGGUUCUUCCAAUCAGACGCCGCACGGCGCUUCUCCUCCCCCUGUGAGCUUUAGCUCUGCAAAGCUCCACUCCGGCGGGGGCAGCCCGAGCUUUGGCAUCACAGAACUCAGUCUGGAUCCCGGGGGAUCUACUGUCAAGCAGAUACCCUCUUCGCUCCAACCCUGGAGGUUCCGCCCACAGACACCAUCCCACCCACACCUCCUACCCUGCCCUUAUCCCCUCCCAGCGUUCUACCCAGCCCGGGACCAGAUGGUUCAAACGCUCCCUAUCCCGCCCCCCCUCCUGCCCGCUCUGCAGCCGCUCCUUGCCCUCCCCCGCGCGCCGCUCACCGCCGCCUCCCGCGGAUCCCCGGUCUUCGAUAGCUCCCACCUCCGACUCCUUUAAAACCAGCCUUACCCAACGCUGCCCAACCGCCAGGGGCCUUCUUCUCGGAGUCUCCCGGCACCGCCCAAUCGCCGGUCCCCGUCUUCCGGGGUGGCCAAUGAGCGUCGACCGACUGCUAACGAUUUGUGAAAUUCCCAACGUCCUAGAGAGGCCUCAUCUGAGUCUGAUUGCGACACAACCCGGGGUUCUUCCACCAGAUUCUUACCGCACAGGAUCUGAGUUUGGGAGCGAGUGGCGGGGGUCCUGAGUUCAAACACCAGAGGUCAAAGACCAGGGCAGGUGCAGCCUCGGACUUCUUUGUUGCACGGUGUCCUGGAGAAAUUGGGCCUAGCCGAAGUUGGGAAGAGGUUGGGCAUGUUGAUCUUCAUUUCGUCUGAGUUUUGUAUGCUUCUUCCCGGAGGAGUGGAGGUGUCCGCUAACCGCAGAAAGGGUUCACCAUUGAGGCUCCAUUGCAGGACGCCAUAAAUCCACCUUAACUUGCUUGGUGGGACCGGUUCAGCUUCCCUCUUUGUUCGGGACUCCCAGGAGCCACUAUCAGGAGGAGCCUGACUGAUGCAGACCGUAAAUACUUAGGGUUCAGCGAUGGGAUCUCGAGGCUUGGAGAAACUGCAUCAUGGGUUUUUAGCAGGAGCCAGACUGUUGGUGGUGAAAAAGUGAGCAUAUACCGUCUUCUCGCACUGUGAAGGCGCCCUCAGCACCUAAUCAAAGUCCAUGCCUCCGCUAGUUCUUCCCCAGAAGAACUAUUCCCUGUUCCAAAGCAAACCUUGUUUUCUUAAUAAAACAAGAGAGCCUGAAGCCUAGUGUCCUGGGUUUAAGAUCAAGGUGCAGAGGCACCUCUCGGUCUAGAAUAAUUUUCUUUCGGGAGAUUGAAUGAUGAAAGUAUUAAAACAAUGAUAUGGAAAGAACAGAAUUGCAGCGUGGAACGCAAAGAUUCUCCAACUCCGUCCCCAAGGACUCUCUUCAAGAUAAAAGUGCUCUCAGGAUUACAAUGUCUCUUUGUGAUUGGAGAUCGGCUGGGUCUCUGGAAAUCCUUUAUGAGAUUUCUGGUGUGAGUAGGCAACAGCUCUUCCAGCUAGAGGGAUUUUCUCUCCUCCUGGAUCCAUUUGGCCGUGUGGUGCCUAAAGAUAUUCCCUGGAGGUAUGGUGAGUGCCUAGGCCUAGAGUGUCCUGAGUUUAAACACACAGGUCCUUUCUAGGCCCCCGAGCAGGAAAAGCCUUCAAGAGCAGAGCAAACAAUCUGAUUUUUGAUUCUCUAAGUUGCCAGAAGUCUCAACAACACUAAGGGUAAAGGAAGUAGCCUAAGGAAAAGGCCUGGAGGCUGAAAAUUUGGUAGAUAGGGCCCAAUCCUGAGAUCCUAACUUAGGGCAUAGAGUUCAUCAAAUUGAAAUCUAAGGUAGACUGUCCCAGCCCUCAGCCUAGGCUAGCAAGGGUGAGCACUCAUGGCUUCACAAAAUUGAACUCUGCCCUUUUUGUGACUCCUAUUUCAACUACUCCUACCUAACCCACCAUCUGGGUACAUAUUACAGUAUGUGACAAGUGUGUGCUGAAUGGUUCACAUAAACUCCAGUGGGGCUGCUGAUGGGCUGUUAGUGCACUUUAGUUAUCUUUCCUCAGAAACUGGUCCUCUGGAUCUCCCAUCUUCUUAACUGUGUUUGGCCUUAUAUAUAGGAUAGGAACAAUAAACCCUAUCAUGCCUAUCUCAAAGUAGACUUGGGAGAUGAAGAGCAAGAGAGAAGACACAAAGAGAAAAAAAGUGAAGCUGGGUGUAAUGGUACAUGUCUAUCAUCCCAGUGGCUAGGGAGGCUGAGGCAGGAGGAUUGCAUGUUCAAGACCAGCCUCAGCAACUUAGUGAGACCCUGUCUCAAAAAAAUAAAAAGGGCUGGGGAUGUAACUCAGUGGUAAAGCAACCCUGGGUUCAAUCCCUAGUACCUGCCCCCAAAAGAGGAUGAUAAAAGCUGCUGCUUCUUAGCCAAGUGCAGUGGUGCACAGCUAUAAUCCCAGCAAUUUGGGAGGCCAAGUAAGGAGGAUCACAAAGUUCAAGACCAAUUUAGCAAUUUAGUGAGACCCUGCCUUAAAUUUAAAAAUGCCUGGGAAUGUAGCUAUUAAGCUCUACCAUUAGGUAGAGCACACCUGGGGUUCAAUCCCCAGUACUGCAAACAACAAAAAGCUGCUUCUUUCUGCUCUGAGUGCCCUGCCCCUUUGGGUCCUCCAGCUAGCUGCUGGAGACCUUUCUGUUAAAACCCACUAGCCUGAGCUCCAAAACAGCCAGGGUAGAGUGGGUGGGGUUGUGGCUGCAGGGUAUCAGAGAUGGGUGAAAUGGGUCAAUUUUAGCCCUUUACCAGGAACCACACCUCAGAAAUAAUAGUAAGCCUUGGGUUUGGGUUGCUGCUCUGGUUUGCAUUAAUCCAUUCAACAAAAUUUCAAGACUUCCCAGGUACUAUGUCCUCAGGGGAGACACGCCUGACCCCUGAAAGUUUGUAUCCCUGCAUUUAUACCUCUGUAUACGAGAUUGCCAUCGGUUCUGAUGCUUCCAGCAACUUUAAUCCUCUACUCUGAGGUACUUGAUUUAGCCAGGUUUAAGCACAUUCCUGCCCAAUUUAAGUCCCCUGAUGAACAUUGAAGCUUCACUUCUGGAGGGUUUUCUACUCUAGUCAGCUACUUCAGAUUGUUAUUAUUAUUUUUAAUCUGAAAAAUUUGGUCCUGCCUAUAGUCCUCCUCCUCUUUCCCAGUGGAGAGAGCCACCUGUGGCCAGUUCCGUCCUUGUCCAUCCCCUCUUUUUUUCUAGCAGGGGGAUGGUAGACAGGGCUCAAGUUUGGAAAGCUGAUAGUAAAACUAAUGAAAAUGUGGGGAGGGAAGGAGAUUGGGAGGGUGGAGAGACAACAAAGAAGAGUGAAGGGAGCUGCCUAUUAAUAUCUGAAACAGUAGUACAUUAUGAUGCCUGUUUUCAAUUUAUCCCCUCAUCUCCAAUUUUAUUUGUUUAUUUAUUUAGGGCUGGUAAUCAAUCUCAGGGUCUCCCACAUGCUAGGCAAGCACUCUACCACUGAGCUACACUCCCAGCCCUCAAAUUCAUUCUCCCCACCCCCCUUGCUCUGUGAGAAUGGAUCUGGUCCAUUGAAAUAUUUUUUUCUCUACUAGCUGGCAUUGUGUUAAGGGUUGUCCAUAUACUGCUAGAAAAACAUUGCAGCAAGAAAGGGAGUUGCUUCCUGGUUCCAGUGAACCUACUGGCAGGCUCCUGGGUUCUAUCCCCCAGCCCCUGCAUGGUGGUCAACAGCAUCCAAUGGCCAGCAGCUCACCCUAGUACCUUCUUGGAUGGCUUUGUAGUGACUCCACUACAAAGUACCUCUGGUGAGACACCUUCCCAUGAAUAGCCCUUCCUGGCACCCUAGAGGAAAGAUUUCCAGCAGGUUCCACGAGAAGGACACUCUAACCAUUUCUGUGACCUCUCCAGAAAGUUCUGGAUCACCCCCAGGAAGGGUGGAGUAUUUUUCCUGGAUGCUCUCAGUGUGAGGGACAGCAGCUGCUUCUUAUAUCUGCUGUUCUUGCAGUUUUUUAAAUUGCUUAUUAUCUGUAGUGAAUAGAAUUUUGCCCCCCCCAAAGAUAUGUUCAAGUCCUAACCCUCUCCCUCAGUUCCUAUAAAUGUGACUUUAUUUGGAAAUAAAGUCUUUGCAAAUGUAGUUAAAAUGAGAUCAUACUGGAUUAGGAUGGGCCCUAAUCCAAUGACUGGUGUGUCAUUUAUAAGAAAAGGAACUUGGGGGCUGGGGAUGUGGCUCAAGCGGUAGCGCGCUUGCCUGGCAUGCAUGCGGCCCGGGUUCGAUCCUCAGCACCACAUACAAACAAAGAUGUUGUGCCUGCCGAAAACUUAAAAAUAAAUAAAUAAAUAAAUAUUAAAAAAAAAAAAAAGAAAAGGAACUUGGACACACACAUAAAAAGGAGACUGUAAUGUGAAGAUACAAACAUGCAGAGAAAAUACCAUAUGACAGAGGCAGAGAUUGAAGUGGCGCAUCUGAUACAAGCCAAGGAAUGCCAAAGAUUGCCAACAAGAUUACCAGCAACCUAGAAGAGACAAAGGAAGACAUUCUACCCAGGAAAAUGAUACAGAAUUCAAUCUUUCAUUUCUUUAAAUUACCUGUUAUAGUUGAUCAUUUUUGUAUUAACUUUUCCUCAUUUAAAUUGCCAUAUGGUUUCUCCUUCCUGAUUGGACCAGACUUAACACAUCAACAAAUAUACUAGCAUCUUAGCAUGAAAUAAAGUAGAAUAUCUAAGCUA